GGGCAGAGAGAGAGAGAGGACAGAGGAUCUGAAGCAGGCUCUGCACGGACAGCAGAGAGCCUGACGCGGGGCUCCAACUCACUAGUCGUGAGAUCAUGACCUGAGCCAAAGUUGGACGCUCAACCGAUUGAGCCACCAGGCACCCUGGAAAACCUUAUUCUUAAUGAGGCAUCUGUGGGGUGGCUCUCACAUGGGAGCUCAGCAUGCCUUAAGGGAUGUUCAUGGAAGCACUGUUGCUAUGGAGAAAGCUCCGGAGACAACCUGAUGGUCAUGGGGAGAAAGUGGUUAAAUAAUCCACGGUGUAUCCACACUACGAAACUAUGCAGCUGGAAAAGAAUGAGGGCCUGAUGUGGACACACUUAGCCAGGCACCAGAAGUACGGUGCGAGGAAGAGAAUAUACAUAUGUAUAUGCACAGAAAGCUUCUGGAAGGAUCCACAAGCUACUUUGUUACUGGACCAGGAGAUACUGAGGAGUAAAGAUCAUGAAAGAUAGGAAACUUGGGGGAAAAAAGACCCUGUGCUGAAGCAGGAAGCUGCUCUCCCCUCAAGUGGCUGAUAGUCUAAGAGCUGAGACAAAGAUACACCUGCCAAGUUCACCUGGAUGAGUCUGGGAGGAAGAAGAGCCUUAUCAGAGCUCCAAAGAUGGGGAGGAGCAGCCUGGGAGACCUGGGUUGGGGUCCUCGCUUGGUCUCUGUCAGCUGUGUGGACGUGGGCAAGUCAUCUUGCCUUUCUCUGCCUCAGUUGUCCUCAUCUGUGAAAUGGCCACACAAUGAUAGCAUCAACCUCAGAGAGCGAGACCCCAUGGUUUGUCACCCACUUAGCACACGCUCUGUCUCUAGUGAUGGCUCAACAAAUGGGAGGAUGUUACAUCCAUAGCUGGAGGCUGGAUGCUUGUGGCACUGAGGGGUACGAGCAGUUACAGGAACUCCAAGCAGUGUCAAAACUCUAGACUUCUCCCAAUUUCUGAAUCUCCUUUCCCCAUACUUCUUAGAAAGGGGAAGGUCGGCUUUGGGGAGGAAACUGGGCUGGGGACGCUUCCCGGUUAGCCUGCUUGUAGCUCAGCUGCUGAGUAACAGUCAUGACACUGAUUAUAUUAAUGCCGUGUCUCAUUUAUUGAGGAUGGACUCUGUGCCAGGCAACAUGGCAUGUGCCCAAAAUGCCUCAGCUGAUUCCUUCUCCCCCACGGACCCUCACUGGGUGAAGCUUGUGGGGGUGGGGGGGGAGACAAGCCCUCCCCACCUGGGGCAAAGCUCUCUUAUCUCCUGUUCCAGGAAAGAGCAUCGAGACCCUGCGAGGCCCAGUGCACAGCGGGGCUGGUUCCUGGGUGAGCCUGCUCCAGCCCUGAGCUUGGACCCCCACCCACCUCCACCCUCCCAGCCUCCCGCUGACUCAGCUGGGUCAGGCCCAGGAGCUUCGGGGAGAAUUAGCAGAUUCAGGGAGGAAUUUGGGCUGUGCUUCACCAUCCUCCCCCUCCAUUCUCUCCAAGCUGGGCUCCAAGCUGGUGCAGCUCUGUGUGCGUGCACACGCGUACACACGUGUGCACGACACUGGCUUGUGGGCAGGCCGGAUGGGGUGGGAGCUGUGUUCUGGCCCCGUGCAUCCUCCUCUGGGCAGAUGGGAUUUGUUUGGUUCCGCAGAGCCCUCGUAUGCCAAGUGACUCAUCCCUCUGCCGACCGGGGGUGGGGGCUCGGGGGAGGGUGUUUGCUUUCCUCGGGUUUGCUUGAUGGUUAAACCCACGGAGAGGGCACCUGCGCGGCCAUCCAGUUCUCUGGCAACCAGGCCACCCUCGGCCCCUGAAGCCUGUCCCCUCUCUGCAGCUGGGCUAGGCUGCUGACCCCGGGAGGCCACUACCUUCUGAAGGGUCACCCACCCCCUCCUUGUUGUCAGUCAUUGUUUCCCCAGCAGCUGGAGAGGUGUUCACUCACUCACUCACUGGUUUGGGGUGUUCCUGCGAACCAGUCUGAAACAAGAAGGGCAACAUUCCCCCAGCCCCAGAAAGAGGGGUGUGAUGGCCCAGCAGCCUGUUCCUUACCACAGCCCCUUCUCCUCCCAUCCUCCCGUGGACAGCCAUCUCCUGUCUCCAACUGUAUGACCUCACCUCCACCUGAGGAGCAUUUAAAAAUGCAGAUUCUAGAGUCCCCUUGUUGGGUGGGUCUGGAAGGGCCACGGAAUCUGCAUGUUAACAAACAACUACCCCCAGGUUACUGAAGCGGGUGGUUUCUGGGCCACCCUGAGAAACAGCUGUGAAUAGAAAGAUGCGGUACAUGCUCAGGCCCUGGUCUACACCCACCCGGGAAGAGCCCACAGGCUGUAGCUUGAAGCCAAACUGGGUUUGAAUCCUGACUCUGCCACAUCCACCUGUGUGUCCUUUCAGAGGUGGCUUACCCUUCUGGAAUCUUGGUUUCCCCGUCUGUAAAAUGGGGAAGAGCCAGGGUGCCAUGAUGCGUGCCAAGCACCUGGCAUGGGAUCCCCUCUUCUCCCCACUCUUCAAGGGGACAAGAGGGGAAUGGCCCGGCUUCACCCUGUGUUUUGUAACAUGUAUUUACUUUUCUUGCAGAACAAUGCAAGGGAUGGAAAAAUCACGCUGGCUCUCCAGCCCAGAUGGGCUGACUCACACUCAGUCCUGGGCUGGGGGCCUGGUGAGCUCCCCACAAAGCCCUUGGGGCCAGAUGGGAGGUUGGACCCUGGCAGCAGAGGCAGGAGAGGGUCCAUGGUGAGUCACCCACUCUGCCUGCCCCUUGAGUCAUCCCCCAAGAAUGUGCCUCCGGCCCCUACCCGCUGGGGGCUCCUGGCAGACUGCCCCAUCCUGGCCACCUCCCCACUGCCUGCCAGGCAGCCCCACCCUACUGCCCUCCCAGAGAGCCAUUGCUCAGAUGACCAUCCUGCCAGCCCUCUCUGGAUGCAGGUGUAUACCUAUAACAGCCGUGUCUAUUGUCCAACUAUUGAAACAGCUCCUGACAGUGGUUGAGUAGUGGCCACUCUGAGGCCCUGGUGUCCCUUGGCAGCCCUGGCCCUUCCCCCUCAAACCCUUGGC